rnacentral:miRNA from 1 species
GGCCGGGGCCGGGGCCGGGGCAGAGACCCCUUGGCAGAGGAAGGCCGGGGCUGGGGCCGGGGCCGGGGCCGGGGCCGGGGCC